CCCGCUGAACUUAAGCAUAUCAAUAAGCGGAGGAAAAGAAACCAACAGGGAUUACCUCAGUAACGGCGAGUGAAGCGGUAACAGCUCAAAUUUGAAAUCUGGCUCUUUCAGGGUCCGAGUUGUAAUUUGUAGAAGAUGCUUUGGGCGUGGCUCCGGUCUAAGUUCCUUGGAACAGGACGUCAUAGAGGGUGAGAAUCCCGUACGUGACUGGGUGCCUUCGUCCGUGUAAAGCUCUUUCGACGAGUCGAGUUGUUUGGGAAUGCAGCUCAAAAUGGGUGGUAAAUUUCAUCUAAAGCUAAAUAUUGGCCAGAGACCGAUAGCGCACAAGUAGAGUGAUCGAAAGAUGAAAAGCACUUUGGAAAGAGAGUUAAACAGUACGUGAAAUUGUUGAAAGAGAAGCGCUUGCAAUCAGACUUGCGUGCGGUUGAUCAUCCGAGGUUUUCCCCGGUGCACUCGAUCGUACUCAGGCCAGCAUCGGUUUGGGCGGUUGGAUAAAGGCCUUGGGAAUGUGGCUCCUCUCGGGGAGUGUUAUAUAGCCCUCGGUGCAAUGCAGCCUGUCCGGACCGAGGACCGCGCUUCGGCUAGGAUGCUGGCGUAAUGGUUGUAAGCGACCCGUCUUGAAACACGG
rnacentral:rRNA from 1 species